rnacentral:rRNA from 1 species
AUUGAACGCUGGCGGAAUGCUUUACACAUGCAAGUCGAGCGGCAGCACGGGGGCAACCCUGGUGGCGAGCGGCGAACGGGUGAGUAAUACAUCGGAACAUGCCCAGUCGUGGGGGACAACACUUCGAAAGAAGUGCUAAUACCGCAUACGUCCUGAGGGGGAAAGCGGGGGAUCGCAAGACCUCGCGCGAUUGGAGUGGCCGAUGUCAGAUUAGCUAGUUGGUGGGGUAAAGGCCUACCAAGGCAACGAUCUGUAGCUGGUCUGAGAGGAUGAUCAGCCACACUGGGACUGAGACACGGCCCAGACUCCUACGGGAGGCAGCAGUGGGGAAUUUUGGACAAUGGGGGCAACCCUGAUCCAGCCAUUCCGCGUGAGUGAAGAAGGCCUUCGGGUUGUAAAGCUCUUUCGGCAGGAACGAAACGGUGAGCUCUAACAUAGCUUGCUAAUGACGGUACCUGAAGAAGAAGCACCGGCUAACUACGUG